AGCGCACCUUGCGCUCCUUGGUAUUCCUUGGAGCAUGCCUGUUUGAGUAUCAUGAAAUUCUCAAAACAAACCUUUUGUUAAUUCAUUCGGUUUUGUUUUGGACUUGGAGGCCUUGCGGAUUCACGUCCGCUCCUCUUAAAAACAUUAGCUGGAUCUCAGUGAGCUCGGUUCCACUCGGCGUGAUAAGUAUCACUCGCUGAGGACACCCGUAAAAAAGGUGGCCGGGAUUUGCAGAUGAACCGCUUCUAAUAGCCCAUUGAAUUGGGCAACAUACUUUAUGAUCUGAUCUCAAAUCAGGUAGGACUACCCGCUGAACUUAA
rnacentral:misc_RNA from 1 species